AUUGAACGCUGGCGGAAUGCUUUACACAUGCAAGUCGAGCGGCAGCACGGGGGCAACCCUGGUGGCGAGCGGCGAACGGGUGAGUAAUACAUCGGAACAUGCCCAGUCGUGGGGGAUAACACUUCGAAAGAAGCGCUAAUACCGCAUACGUCCUGAGGGAGAAAGCGGGGGAUCGCAAGACCUCGCGCGAUUGGAGUGGCCGAUGUCAGAUUAGCUAGUUGGUGGGGUAAAGGCCUACCAAGGCAACGAUCUGUAGCUGGUCUGAGAGGAUGAUCAGCCACACUGGGACUGAGACACGGCCCAGACUCCUACGGGAGGCAGCAGUGGGGAAUUUUGGACAAUGGGGGCAACCCUGAUCCAGCCAUUCCGCGUGAGUGAAGAAGGCCUUCGGGUUGUAAAGCUCUUUCGGCAGGAACGAAACGGUGAGCUCUAACAUAGCUUGCUAAUGACGGUACCUGAAGAAGAAGCACCGGCUAACUACGUGCCAGCAGCCGCAGUAAAAC
rnacentral:rRNA from 1 species